rnacentral:rRNA from 1 species
GAUGAACGCUGGCGGCGUGCCUAAUACAUGCAAGUCGAGCGAACAGACGAGGAGCUUGCUCCUCUGACGUUAGCGGCGGACGGGUGAGUAACACGUGGAUAACCUACCUAUAAGACUGGGAUAACUUCGGGAAACCGGAGCUAAUACCGGAUAAUAUAUUGAACCGCAUGGUUCAAUAGUGAAAGACGGUUUUGCUGUCACUUAUAGAUGGAUCCGCGCCGCAUUAGCUAGUUGGUAAGGUAACGGCUUACCAAGGCGACGAUGCGUAGCCGACCUGAGAGGGUGAUCGGCCACACUGGAACUGAGACACGGUCCAGGCUCCUACGGGAGGCAGCAGUAGGGAAUCUUCCGCAAUGGGCGAAAGCCUGACGGAGCAACGCCGCGUGAGUGAUGAAGGUCCUCGGAUCGUAAAACUCUGUUAUUAGGGAAGAACAAAUGUGUAAGUAACUAUGCACGUCUUGACGGUACCUAAUCAGAAAGCCACGGCUAACUACGUG